UACGAAGGGGGCUAGCGUUGCUCGGAAUCACUGGGCGUAAAGCGCACGUAGGCGGCUUUCUAAGUCAGGGGGUGAAAUCCUGGAGCUCAACUCCAGAACUGCCUUUGAUACUGGAGAGCUUGAGUCCGGGAGAGGUGAGUGGAACUCCGAGUGUAGAGGUGAAAUUCGUAGAUAUUCGGAAGAACACCAGUGGCGAAGGCGGCUCACUGGCCCGGUACUGACGCUGAUGUGCGAAAGCGUGGGGAGCAA
rnacentral:rRNA from 1 species